GCUUAAUACGGAUAAGCCGCUUGUGUAGUGUGACACACACAAAACUUUGAAAAACGAGAGAAAAAUAAUUGGGUAAACGAAGAGGAAGAAACUGUAAUCUCACGUGCUGGUGAGACAAAACAAGGAGACAUAUAGACAAGAUAUGUUCCGAGAAGAUCCAAAGCAUUCCUCGUGACACUGUUCCUAUCUCCUAUCCUCAUUUCUUUUCAUCUUCUUUCUUAUUUCAUCUUCGUCUUCUUCUUCUUGGGGGACCAAAAACACUUGAACAUAUUAUAUGGUCAUUUUUCUUUUGUCAUAAUCUAUUGAGAGAGAGAGAUAUACUAGAUUCAUGUAUUUAUGUUUUCGGUAUCCGUCGUCAAUUUCAACGCUUGAUUUGUUCAUAUAGAGAAGAAGUUUGUGGAUUUUCUUUACGUGUGUAU